rnacentral:misc_RNA from 1 species
GAUGAAGAACGUAGCGAAAUGCGAUAAGUAAUGUGAAUUGCAGAAUUCAGUGAAUCAUCGAAUCUUUGAACGCAUCUUGCGCUCCUUGGUAUUCCUUGGCGCAUGCCUGUUUGAGUAUCAUGAGCAAAUCUCAAAGUCAAUUCCUUUUGUUGAUUCAAUUGGUUUUGCUUUGGACUUGGAGGCCUUGCAGAUUUCACAGUCUGCUCCUCUUAAAUGCAUUAGCUGGAUCUCAGUAAUUAUGCUUGGUUCCACUCGGCGUGAUAAGUAUCACUCGCUGAGGACACUGUUAAAAAGGUGGCCAGGAAAAUACUGAUUGAACCGCUUCUAACGGUCUAUUAAGUUAGACAAUUACCCUUAAGUUUGAUCUCAAAUCAGGUAGGACUACCCGCUGAACUUAAGCAUAUCAAUAAGCGGAGGA